rnacentral:rRNA from 1 species
GACGAACGCUGGCGGCGUGCUUAACACAUGCAAGUCGAACGGAAAGGCCCUGCUUUUGUGGGGUGCUCGAGUGGCGAACGGGUGAGUAACACGUGAGUAACCUGCCCUUGACUUUGGGAUAACUUCAGGAAACCGGGGCUAAUACCGGAUAGGAGCUCCUGCUGCAUGGUGGGGGUUGGAAAGUUUCGGCGGUUGGGGAUGGACUCGCGGCUUAUCAGCUUGUUGGUGGGGUAGUGGCUUACCAAGGCUUUGACGGGUAGCCGGCCUGAGAGGGUGACCGGCCACAUGGGGACUGAGAUACGGCCCAGACUCCUACGGGAGGCAGCAGUGGGGAAUAUUGCACAAUGGGCGGAAGCCUGAUGCAGCAACGCCGCGUGCGGGAUGACGGCCUUCGGGUUGUAAACCGCUUUCGCCUGUGACGAAGCGUGAGUGACGGUAAUGGGUAAAGAAGCACCGGCUAACUACGUG